GACGUUAGCUCAGUUGGUAGAGCAGCGGACUUUUAAUCCGUUGGUCGCAGGUUCGAAUCCUGCACGU
rnacentral:tRNA from 1 species